rnacentral:misc_RNA from 1 species
AGCAAACAUUGAUCUGAUGGAUAUCUUAGUAGCAGGUUAUGAAAACACAGAGAUGGCUUUACACUAUGGUGCCAUGCUACGGGAAUGCAUACGUCACCAAAGUGUUGCUAAGUAUGUUUUGGAAUCACAGCACAUGAAAAAGUUUUUUGAUUAUAUUCAACUUCCAAAUUUUGACAUUGCUGCAGAUGCUGCUGCAACUUUUAAGGAAUUGUUGACGAGGCAUAAAUCUACGGUAGCUGAAUUUCUUUCCAAGAAUUAUGACUGG